rnacentral:rRNA from 1 species
UACGGAGGGUGCGAGCGUUGUUCGGAAUCAUUGGGCGUAAAGCGCGUGUAGGCGGCUUACUAAGUCUGGUGUGAAAUCCCGGGGCUUAACCCCGGAACUGCAUUGGAUACUGGUAAGCUAGAGGACGGAAGGGGGAAGCGGAAUUCCUGGUGUAGGGGUGAAAUCCGUAGAUAUCAGGAGGAACACCGGAGGCGAAGGCGGCUUCCUGGUCCGUUUCUGACGCUAAGACGCGAAAGCAUGGGGAGCAAACAGG